UAUGGUUGCGAUGUAAAAUGGCGUGGAAGUAACACUUAUCAUGUUUUACUUACUUUUUGGUUGUCGAACUAAUGAGAGAGAAUUAAUGUUCAGUUUGGUCCUACUGAAACAGCCAAUAGCUACAUGUACGUCUUUCUUGGUCUAUAUCUUGAUUUGAUGUUUUCGUCUGCACCUUGCAACAUUAUGCAGUUAAUUUUCAACCGAUGAGUGAGAGCAAUUGGAGCUUUAUUUGAAUUCCUCGGUAAAAACAAAUUUUUUACUAUGGUGUUCCUUGUGGAUUUGGUUUGCUUUCCACACCUGCAAACUUUGGAACGUUACAGUCUACAAUUAAUUAAGAUCGACGCUGGAGAAGACAAACAAAACCCCGUAGUUAAAAUAGUUCUUUUAUCUUGCAUGCUCUAUCUAAUAGAAAUAAUUCAUUUAGUCCAAAUUCAAAUAAA